rnacentral:rRNA from 1 species
CAAAGGAAGCGAUUCCGGCGGGGGAUGGGCAUGCGGCGCAUUAGCUAGUCGGCGGGGUAACGGCCCACCGAGGCGACGAUGCGUAGGGGUUCUGAGAGGAAGGUCCCCCACACUGGUACUGAGACACGGACCAGACUCCUACGGGAGGCAGCAGUGAGGAAUAUUGGUCAAUGGGCGGGAGCCUGAACCAGCCAAGUCGCGUGAGGGAAGACGGUCCUACGGAUUGUAAACCUCUUUUGCCGGGGAGCAACGGGGUCCUUGCGAGGGCCCAAUGAGAGUACCCGGAGAAAAAGCAUCGGCUAACUCCGUGCCAGCAGCCGCGGUAAUACGGAGGAUGCGAGCGUUAUCCGGAUUUAUUGGGUUUAAAGGGCGCGUAGGCGGGCUGUUAAGUCAGCGGUCAAAUGUCGGGGCUCAACCCCGGCCUGCCGUUGAAACUGGCGGCCUCGAGUGGGCGAGAAGUAUGCGGAAUGCGUGGUGUAGCGGUGAAAUGCAUAGAUAUCACGCAGAACUCCGAUUGCGAAGGCAGCAUACCGGCGCCCGACUGACGCUGAGGCACGAAAGCGUGGGUAUCGAACAGGAUUAGAUACCCUGGUAGUCCACGCAGUAAACGAUGAAUGCUAGCUGUCCGGGACUUCGGCUCUGGGUGGC